rnacentral:rRNA from 1 species
CCUACGGGAGGCAGCAGUGGGGAAUAUUGCGCAAUGGGCGGAAGCCUGACGCAGCGACGCCGCGUGGGGGAUGACGGCCUUCGGGUUGUAAACCUCUUUCAGCUCCGACGAAGCGAGAGUGACGGUAGGAGCAGAAGAAGCACCGGCCAACUACGUGCCAGCAGCCGCGGUAAU